AGUGGGGAAUAUUGGACAAUGGGCGCAAGCCUGAUCCAGCAAUGCCGCGUGGGUGAAGAAGGUCUUCGGAUCGUAAAGCCCUUUCGACAGGGACGAUGAUGACGGUACCUGUAGAAGAAGCCCCGGCUAACUUCGUGCCAGUAGCCGCGGUAAUACGAAGGGGGCUAGCGUUACUCGGAAUUACUGGGCGUAAAGGGCGCGUAGGCGGCUCGACCAGUCAGGCGUGAAAUUCCUGGGCUUAACCUGGGGACUGCGCUUGAUACUGUUGGGCUUGAGGCCGAGAGAGGGUGGUGGAAUUCCCAGUGUAGAGGUGAAAUUCGUAGAUAUUGGGAAGAACACCGGUGGCGAAGGCGACCACCUGGCUCGGUACUGACGCUGAGGCGCGACAGCGUGGGGAGCAAACAGGAUUAGAUACCCUGGUAGUCCACGCCGUAAACGAUGUGUGCUGGAUGUUGGGGUCCCUAGGAUCUCAGUGUCGUAGCCAACGCGGUUAGCACA
rnacentral:rRNA from 1 species